GGAUUCUAUCAAGUAACUUACAGUGAAGUAAAAUGAAAGAAAUGGAGACUAUGGACUAUAUUUGCAAAGUGGUGGCUAUUGUAAGCUGCCAUUCUCAAUGGACUGGAGCUCAAAAGCAAGCCGGGCUUUACACUGAAUAACCUCUAACCUGUGCUGUUGCGGUUCAUGAUUACAAUGGGACUCCACAAUGAAGGGGGAAUACUCAUGAGGAGAUGCUUAUCUGAGUUACAGCGGUCCAUCACCUGAGACUAUAACCUGUGUUGGUGGUGUCCAUAACUAGAUUGAAUCACCGCAAUGUAGGACCUGAUAUCUGGGGAGAUGGCAAACAGACAGCAAUAUGAAGGAUAAAUAGUAUCUGCAAUGACAUGCGGAGAGCUAUGAGUUUGUCUAUGACUGGCAGCCAUAGUUGUUUUCCACCAGAGAGUUUUUGAAAAGGAGAUAAUGAUUUGUAGAAGAAUUAGAAUUACCACCAGAAGAAUGCUUAAAAGUGUAAUUAACUUGCUAAUUAAAGAAAGAAAA